rnacentral:rRNA from 1 species
ACGCUCGACACCUACGGAGGCAGCAGUGGGGAAUAUUGGGCAAUGGGCGCAAGCCUGACCCAGCAACGCCGCGUGAAGGAAGAAGGCCCUCGGGUUGUAAACUUCUUUUAACAGGGACGAAGUAAGUGACGGUACCUGUUGAAUAAGCCACGGCUAACUACGUGCCAACAGCCGCGGUAAUCUGAGCGGGCUGGCAAGGC